UACGUAGGGGGCAAGCGUUGUCCGGAAUCAUUGGGCGUAAAGCGCGUGUAGGCGGCUCGGUAAGUCUGCUGUGAAAGUCCAGGGCUCAACCCUGGGAUGCCGGUGGAUACUGUCGAGCUCGAGUCCGGAAGAGGCGAGUGGAAUUCCUGGUGUAGCGGUGAAAUGCGCAGAUAUCAGGAGGAACACCAAUUGCGAAGGCCGCUCGCUGGGACGUCACUGACGCUGAGACGCGAAAGCGUGGGGAGCAAACAGG
rnacentral:rRNA from 1 species